AUUGAACGCUGGCGGCAGGCCUAACACAUGCAAGUCGGGCGGGGUUUUCGGACCUAGCGGCGGACGGGAGAGUAAUGCGUAGGAAGCUGCCCGAUAGAGGGGGAUACCAGUUGGAAACGACUGUUAAUACCGCAUAAUGUCUACGGACCAAAGUGUGGGACCUUCGGGCCACAUGCUAUCGGAUGCGCCUACGUGGGAUUAGCUCGUUGGUGAGGUAAUGGCUAACCAAGGCGACGAUCUCUAGCUGGUUUGAGAGGAUGAUCAGCCACACUGUAACCGAGACACGGUCCAGACUCCUACGGGAGGGAGCAGUGGGGAAUAUUGGGCAAUGGGCGCAAGCCUGAUCCAGCCAUGCCGCGUGUGUGAAGCAGGCGUUCGGGUUGUAAAGCACUUUCAGCGAGGAGGAAGGGGUAGUAGUUAAUAGCUGCUACUUUUGACGUUACUCGCAGAAGGAGCACCGGCUAACUCUGUGCCAGCCGCCGCCGUAAGAC
rnacentral:rRNA from 1 species